rfam:Merops nubicus contig90395, whole genome shotgun sequence.
GCACCUGAAUCUUCCCUGUUCCUUGCUGUGUGGUGCAGGCCUGGGGACAGUUGGUGCUACAGCAUAGCAGUGGAAAUCCAGAUGGGUUGUUUUACAUUGGUUUGGAACUCAUCUCUACACCUCUGUGACAUUG